GCUCUCGUCGGCAGGACACAGCACAUACACGACAAUUAGACAGAUACAGAGAUUAGCAUGGCCCCUGCUCAAGGGUGUCACGCAAAUUCGUGAGGCGUUCCAUAUUUUU